rfam:Tinamus guttatus contig23478, whole genome shotgun sequence.
CACAAGGCUCUUUUCGGAGCCACCUACUCUGUUAAUAUGUCUAUAU